CAAGUACUCCCUCCGUCUGGAAUUACUUGUCAUCAAAAUGGAUGUGUCUAGAACUAAAAUACAUCUAGAUACAUCCAUUUCAAUGACAAGUAUUUUCGGACGGAGGGAGUACAAG
rfam:Triticum aestivum genome assembly, contig: Triticum_aestivum_CS42_TGACv1_scaffold_121866_2AS